UGAUGAUGCUUGCAUCAAGAUCCUCAAGAACUGCCACCGUGCUCUUCCAGCCAGCGGUAAGGUGAUCGUCGUGGAAAUCGUCCUGCCGGCCACCACGGAGGCGACUCGUGAGGCGCAGGAUAUGUUCCUUCUAGACGUCAUCAUGUUCAACAACCUUGAGGGUGGAAAGGAGAGGACUGAGCAGGAUUUUGUAAACAUGGCUAGGCUCUCUGGGUUCGAUGGUGCCUUCCGUUCCACCUACAUCUUCGGUAACUUCUGGGCCCUCGAGUUCAACAAGUAGCUGCCAUGGUCAUGCAGACUGCAGCAACUCCGAUAUGGAUAUAUCUACGCCAUGCCUGAAUCGUUGUUUCUAUUAAUCUCUUCUCCUGUAUGUAUUACUUCGACUGUAUCCUUGUUUACAUUAAUGUUGUAUAAGCUGGGCAACAGUACCUAUUUGUAUUCGCGCAAUAUGAUGUGAACUUAUUUGUAUUCUCCUCGGCGUGAGGAAGGACGUUAUAAUAUUUAUGCUUCCUCCUACAAUAAUCAGCUCAUGGAAACGAUCCAUUUGUUCUGACCAUUGCUGCAUUACUUGUACUACUUGGCGGAGCCAGGUAGAAGCUGUUGGGGGACCAAAGGGUAAAACACAAGCGUUUAAGGGUGUAAAAUGCUAAAAAAAUCUCACCUAAGCUCUUCUUAAAAAAAMYUUGUAGUUGUAUAACGUUGAGGGGGUCAUAGAGGAUUGAGUAGUUAAACAAUUAAGUAGUUAUGUGAGGACUCUCUCUGAANUUCUUGUGUUCCAAACAGAUUUAGCUUAGCACUUCUUUGAAUUUUGGCCGCAGGUGUGGAAAAUAUAGGUGGUAAUAUGUUUGAGAGUAUACCCACUGGAGAUGCAAUUUUUUUGAAGGUAUAUAUGCUGACUUAUACUCAUUUAAAAAGUAUUAGUUUUUUUUAGAUGUUACAAUUUUAUUCACUCAAUCUCCGUAUGUUAAAAAAACAAUUGGCAUACACUGUAUUGUAAAGUGUGUUUAAGUCCGACAGACAAGUAGGCAGAACUAUGUAAAAUAAUUUGAACGAAUAAUUAAUACUAGUAAUAAAGCUCAUUCUAUGGACUGAACACUUUUAUGUGCAGUGGAUACUCCAUCUACAGAAUGAUGAUGCUUGCAUCAAGAUCCUCAAGAACUGCCACCGUGCUCUUCCAGCCAGCGGUAAGGUGAUCGUCGUGGAAAUCGUCCUGCCGGCCACCACGGAGGCGACUCGUGAGGCGCAGGAUAUGUUCCUUCUAGACGUCAUCAUGUUCAACAACCUUGAGGGUGGAAAGGAGAGGACUGAGCAGGAUUUUGUAAACAUGGCUAGGCUCUCUGGGUUCGAUGGUGCCUUCCGUUCCACCUACAUCUUCGGUAACUUCUGGGCCCUCGAGUUCAACAAGUAGCUGCCAUGGUCAUGCAGACUGCAGCAACUCCGAUAUGGAUAUAUCUACGCCAUGCCUGAAUCGUUGUUUCUAUUAAUCUCUUCUCCUGUAUGUAUUACUUCGACUGUAUCCUUGUUUACAUUAAUGUUGUAUAAGCUGGGCAACAGUAC
rnacentral:lncRNA from 1 species